GACGAACCGUGCAAACGUUGUUCGGAAUCACUGGGCUUAAAGGGCGCGUAGGCGGGCCAGCCAGUCUGUGGUGAAAGCCUCCAGCUUAACUGGAGAAGUGCCGUGGAUACUGCUGGCCUCGAGGAGGAUAGGGGCAUCUGGAACGGUCGGUGGAGCGGUGAAAUGCGUUGAUAUCGACCGGAACUCCGGUGGCGAAGGCGGGUCUCUGGGCCGAUACUGACGCUGAGGAGCGAAAGCGUGGGGAGCGAACAGG
rnacentral:rRNA from 1 species